rnacentral:rRNA from 1 species
UACGAAGGGGGCUAGCGUUGUUCGGAAUUACUGGGCGUAAAGCGCGCGCAGGCGGCCUUCCAAGUCAGUGGUGAAAGCCCGGAGCUCAACUCCGGAACUGCCAUUGAAACUGUUGGACUUGAGUACGAGAGAGGUGAGUGGAAUUCCCAGUGUAGAGGUGAAAUUCGUAGAUAUUGGGAAGAACACCGGUGGCGAAGGCGGCUCACUGGCUCGUAACUGACGCUCAGGCGCGACAGCGUGGGGAUCAAACAGG